rnacentral:rRNA from 1 species
ACGGGUGAGUAACACGUGGGCAACCUGCCCGGAGGUGGGGGAUAACCCUCGGAAAGGAGGGCUAAUACCGCAUCAUAUUCAUGAGGUUGCGACCUCAUGAAUCAAAGCUAGCCUCUACUUGUAAGCUAGCGCCACCGGAGGGGCCCGCGCCCCAUUAGCUUGUUGGUGAGGUAACGGCUCACCAAGGCUACGAUGGGUAGCCGGCCUGAGAGGGCGAUCGGCCACACUGGAACUGAGAUACGGUCCAGACUCCUACGGGAGGCAGCAGUGAGGAAUUUUGCGCAAUGGGGGAAACCCUGACGCAGCGACGCCGCGUGGAGGACUAAGGCCUUCGGGUCGUAAACUCCUGUCAAGUGGGACGAAUGCCGUCGGGAUGAAUAAGCCCGGCGAUUGACGGUACCAUUGAAGGAAGCCCCGGCUAACUCCGUGCCAGCAGCCGCGGUAAUACGGGGGGGGCUAGCGUUGUUCGGAAUUAUUGGGCGUAAAGGGCGCGUAGGCGGCCUGGUAAGUCGGGCGUGAAAUCCCGCGGCUCAACCGCGGAACUGCGUUCGAAACUGCCGGGCUUGAGUCCCGGAGAGGGUAGCGGAAUUCCCAGUGUAGCGGUGAAAUGCGUAGAUAUUGGGAGGAACACCAGUGGCGAAGGCGGCUACCUGGACGGGUACUGACGCUGAGGCGCGAAAGCGUGGGGAGCAAACAGGAUUAGAUACCCUGGUAGUCCACGCUGUAAACGAUGGGCACUUGGUGUUGCGGGUAUCGACCCCUGCAGUGCCGAAGCUAACGCAUUAAGUGCCCCGCCUGGGGAGUACGGUCGCAAGGCUGAAACUCAAAUGAAUUGACG